rnacentral:rRNA from 1 species
GACGAACGCUGGCGGCGUGCCUAAUACAUGCAAGUCGAGCGGAUCUUCAUUAGCUUGCUUUUGAAGAUCAGCGGCGGACGGGUGAGUAACACGUGGGCAACCUGCCUGUAAGACUGGGAUAACUUCGGGAAACCGGAGCUAAUACCGGAUAAUCCUUUCCCUCACAUGAGGGAAAGCUGAAAGACGGUUUCGGCUGUCACUUACAGAUGGGCCCGCGGCGCAUUAGCUAGUUGGUGAGGUAAUGGCUUACCAAGGCGACGAUGCGUAGCCGACCUGAGAGGGUGAUCGGCCACACUGGGACUGAGACACGGCCCAGACUCCUACGGGAGGCAGCAGUAGGGAAUCUUCCGCAAUGGACGAAAGUCUGACGGAGCAACGCCGCGUGAGCGAUGAAGGCCUUCGGGUCGUAAAGCUCUGUUGUCAGGGAAGAACAAGUAUCGGAGUAACUGCCGGUACCUUGACGGUACCUGACCAGAAAGCCACGGCUAACUACGUGCCAGCCGCCGCUGUAAUAC